CAGCAGCCGCGGUAAUACGUAGGAGGCAAGCGUUAUCCGGAAUAACUGGGCGUAAAGGGUGCGCAGGUGGUUUAACAAGUUAGUGGUGAAAGGCAUAGGCUCAACCAAUGUAAGCCAUUAAAACUGUUUAACUUGAGUGCAGGAGAGGAAAGUGGAAUUCCUAGUGUAGCGGUGAAAUGCGUAGAUAUUAGGAGGAAUACCAGUGGCGAAGGCGACUUUCUGGACUGCAACUGACACUGAGGCACGAAAGCGUGGGGAGCAAACAGGAUAAGAUACCCUGGUAGUCCACGCCGUAAACGAUGAGUACUAGGUGUCGGGUGAAGAACUCGGUGCCGAAGUUAACACAUUAAGUACUCCGCCUGGGGAGUACGCUCGCAAGAGUAAAACUCAAAGGAAUUGACGGGGACCCGCACAAGCAGCGGAGCAUGUGGUUUAAUUCGAAGCAACGCGAAGAACCUUACCUAAACUUGACAUACCAAUGACAGCCUUUUAAUCGAGGACUUUUACCUUCGGGUAGACAAUGGAUACAGGUGGUGCAUGGUUGUCGUCAGCUCGCGUCGUGAGAUGUUGGGUUAAGUCCCGCAACGAGCGCAACCCUUGUCGAUAGUUACCAGCAGUAAGAUGGGGACUCUAUCGAGACAGCUAAGGACAACUUAGAGGAAGGUGGGGAUGACGUCAAAUCAUCAUGCCCCUUAUGUUUAGGGCUACACACGUGCUACAAUGGUCAUUACAGAGAGAAGCGAAACUGCGAAGUCAAGCAAACCUCAAAAAGAUGAUCCAAGUUCGGAUUGUAGGCUGAAACUCGCCUACAUGAAGUUGGAGUUGCUAGUAAUCGCGAAUCAGAAUGUCGCGGUGAAUGCGUUCCCGGGUCUUGUACACACCGCCCGUCACACCAUGGGAGUUUGGGGGGCCCAAAGUCAGCGACUCAACCGCAAGGAGAGAGCUGCCCAAGGCAAAACAAAUGACUGGGGUGAAGUCGUAACAAGGUAGCCGU
rnacentral:rRNA from 1 species